CCUACGGGUGGCAGCAGUGGGGAAUAUUGCACAAUGGGGGAAACCCUGAAGCAGCGACGCCGCGUGGGGGAUGAAGGUUUUCGGAAUGUAAAGCCCUGUCGGCAGAGAAGAAAAUGACGGUACCUAACGAAGAAGCACCGGCUAACUCCGUGCCAGCAGCCGCGGUAAUACGGAGGGUGCAAGCGUUACACGGAAUGACUGGGCGUAAAGAGCGCGUAGGCGGGAUUGCAAGUCUGGUGUGAAUUCCUCUGGCUUAACCCUCGAACUGCAUUUGAAACUGUCAGUCUGGAGUGUGGGAGAGGUAAGUGGAAUUCUUUGUGUAGCGGUGAAAUCCUUAGAUAUCACGCGG
rnacentral:rRNA from 1 species